CUGGAAGACCUCCUAUGCUUCUGUGUCUGAUGUUAGAGCUCUCAUACCAUUGUUGGAAGAUCAAAGCUGGAAAUGAAUACUCAAAGGCAGGGGGCUAGAAGAGGAAGUUCUCCAUUUAAUUUUCAAGAGAACAGCACAGAGGUUGUCUCCCAAAAAGUGGAUGGUGAGUCUUGCUGUUUGGUUUUGAAUGGCUUUUCACAGCAAUUUUUUCAAUGCUUACGGCAGUUGGUCACUGUCAACCAGCUGAAGCUCUCCUGAGAUGUUCUGGCCAGAUUCUGGAAAGCCACCUGCCUUUUCCGUCUUUCACAGCGAAUCUCGCCAAGGCUCAAGGUUGACUCAGCCUUCCAUCCUUUCUAAGGUAGGUGAAAUGAGGACCCAGUUUGUGGGGGCAAUAAGCUGACUUUGUAUAAAUAUACAAAAGGAUGAAGGCUAUUGCUGAGCACAUUGUAAGCCACCCUGAGUCUUCGGAG